rnacentral:rRNA from 1 species
ACGAUGCGUAGGGGUUCUGAGAGGAAGGUCCCCCACAUUGGAACUGAGACACGGUCCAAACUCCUACGGGAGGCAGCAGUGAGGAAUAUUGGUCAAUGGGCGGAAGCCUGAACCAGCCAAGUCGCGUGAGGGAAUAAGGCCCUAAGGGUCGUAAACCUCUUUUGCCGGGGAGCAAUGGUCCGCUUGCGAGCGGACAGGGAGAGUACCCGGAGAAAAAGCAUCGGCUAACUCCGUGCCAGCAGCCGCGGUAAUACGGAGGAUGCGAGCGUUAUCCGGAUUUAUUGGGUUUAAAGGGUGCGUAGGCGGAUCGUCAAGUCAGCGGUCAAAAGUCGGGGCUCAACCCCGUGAAGCCGUUGAAACUGGUGGUCUUGAGUGAGCGAGAAGCAGGCGGAAUGCGUGGUGUAGCGGUGAAAUGCAUAGAUAUCACGCAGAACCCCGAUUGCGAAGGCAGCCUGCCGGCGCUCAACUGACGCUGAGGCACGAAAGUGCGGGGAUCGAACAGGAUUAGAUACCCUGGUAGUCCGCACAGUAAACGAUGAAUGCUAGCUGUCCGGUGCGAAGAGUCACUGGGGGUCACAGUCGAAAGUGUUAAGUCAUUCCACCGGUGUGU